rnacentral:rRNA from 1 species
CGCGCAAAUUACCCAAUCCUGACACAGGGAGGUAGUGACAAGAAAUAACAAUACAGGGCCUUUCGGCUUUGUAAUUGGAAUGAGUUGAGUCUAAACCCCUUUGCGAGUAUCAAUUGGAGGGCAAGUCUGGUGCCAGCAGCCGCGGUAAUUCCAGCUCCAAUAGCGUAUAUUAAAGUUGUUGCAGUUAAAAAGCUCGUAGUUGGAUUUUUGCUAAAUCUUGUGCAUGUGCUUUUCUUGCUCCUGCACGGCUUUAG